rnacentral:rRNA from 1 species
UACGUAGGGGGCAAGGCGUUGUCCGGAUUUAUUGGGCGUAAAGAGCGUGUAGGCGGCCAGACAGGUCCGUUGUGAAAACUCGAGCUCAACCUCGAGACGCCGAUGGAAACCGUUUGGCUAGAGUCCGGAAGAGGAGAGUGGAAUUCCUAGUGUAGCGGUGAAAUGCGCAGAUAUCAGGAAGAACACCCGUGGCUAAGGCGGCUCUCUAGUACGGUACUGACGCUGAGACGCGAAAGCGUGGGGAGCGAACAGG